rnacentral:rRNA from 1 species
GACGAACGCUGGCGGCGUGCCUAAUACAUGCCAGUUGAGCGCUGAAGGUUGGUACUUGUACCAACUGGAUGAGCAGCGAACGGGUGAGUAACGCGUGGGGAAUCUGCCUUUGAGCGGGGGACAACAUUUGGAAACGAAUGCUAAUACCGCAUAAAAACUUUAAACACAAGUUUUAAGUUUGAAAGAUGCAAUUGCAUCACUCAAAGAUGAUCCCGCGUUGUAUUAGCUAGUUGGUGAGGUAAAGGCUCACCAAGGCGAUGAUACAUAGCCGACCUGAGAGGGUGAUCGGCCACAUUGGGACUGAGACACGGCCCAAACUCCUACGGGAGGCAGCAGUAGGGAAUCUUCGGCAAUGGACGAAAGUCUGAACGGGCAACGCCGCGUGAGUGAAGAAGGUUUUCGGAUCGUAAAACUCUGUUGGUAGAGAAGAACGUUGGUGAGAGUGGAAAGCUCAUCAAGUGACGGUAACUACCCAGAAAGGGACGGCUAACUACGUG